GUUUUGUGUGUCGUCCGCCCGACGUCGUUGACGAAGCAAACUUCAUUAUAAAGAGACUCCUGUUUUAGAACUAUUAACGUCAGUAAUUUUAUUUAAUAGUGUAUGAAAGAGGUGCAGAUAACUUUCUACUUAUAUAAUAUCAGCAGAUUGAUCUGAGAACGUAAACUGAUGGGAUUUUAUAUACAAGAUGGUGUGUUGAGUGUCUUCAAGACCAAGUAAUUUCGCUUAGGUUCCUGCAGCAAUUUUACAACUGAAGGAUACGGACGGUUCCAAGAUACAUGGUAGUGUUGACAAGAUUAACUGGAAUAACUGGAGGACAUCUCUACAUGUUUCUUGACUGCAAAUUGCUGUAUAAAAGCUUCAAACUGAUGACUGGGUAUCAAGUUUUGUAUGGACAAUGGUAAAUAGUAUCAUCAUAUCCAAGGUAUGCUCUAAAUGGUCUUAAAUUUAUAACCGUAUCUUUUUAAGUGACUUGAUACCAAUGAAGUAAAAUAAAAAUUUACCUUCCAAACAUCUUGCCACAAAAAAGCAGUCUGGAUAUAGAUGUUCAGAGGACAGGCUGUGUCAUUAAUUUUACCUGUAGUGAUUCUUUACCAGUAUAUCCAUAAUGC